UACGAAGGGGGCUAGCGUUGCUCGGAAUCACUGGGCGUAAAGGGUGCGUAGGCGGGUCUUUAAGUUAGGGGUGAAAUCCUGGAGCUCAACUCCAGAACUGCCUUUGAUACUGAGGAUCUUGAGUUCGGGAGAGGUGAGUGGAACUGCGAGUGUAGAGGUGAAAUUCGUAGAUAUUCGCAAGAACACCAGUGGCGAAGGCGGCUCACUGGCCCGAUACUGACGCUGAGACGCGAAAGCGUGGGGAGCGAACAGG
rnacentral:rRNA from 1 species